UAGUUAGCGUACUUAUUACGGUGCUUCUCAUUAUAACUAUACGGUAUUAACAUUUUAGUUAGCGUACUUAUUACGGUGCUUCUAACAAUAAUAUAUAAAAAUACAGAUUGGUUGCCUCUUUUUAUAUAUAUAUAUGUAUCUGCUUCAUCUUCUGUCCGGUGCUUGUGGUUCUUCAUUUUGUCGCCUCUUGCUCUAAUUUAUUUAUGUUCUCUGCAUUACAUGCAUGUUUUCGUAUUUGAGUUAACUAAAUUUGGGGAUUUUUUUGGUUCUUUUGGAGGAUUUGUAAUUUUGAGGCCCUUGGGUUUUAGGGUUUAGCCACCCUUGAUUCCGAGUUUGCUACCUCUUAAUUGUACUAUUGGAUAAAUUGAUGAGACGACACGAAAGAAUCUUUGUUGUGGCUGUAAAUCAGAUAAAAAAAAGUAAUGAUGUUUGGCAAAUGUCAUUGCAGAAAUAGAUACAUAAAGUCCUAAGGAUCUGAAAGAUGUUUAGUUGGUUUAAUGAUUUUAUGAAUGUCAGAAUAACAAGAAUUGCUCCAUGAUUGAAUGCUUGGUAUAUGUGGGCUGUGUUAAAAGUGCUGAGUUUCAGCGAAUGGCAGAGCAGAAAUAGGUACUAAAGUGCAAUGGAUCAAGAGGGACCUCAAAGUUGAAAGGCUUAGCGCGGCUCUGGAAAUCACUAAAGGUUGUUUCUAGCUUUAACAACUUAAUUGCAUUGGAAUCACAAAAAUUGCUCCACGGUGGAUUGCUUGGUUUUUAUGAGUUUCAGAAAAAAGUGCCGACGUUCAGACAAAUGGCAGAGCAGAAAUAGAUUGCUAAAAUUCCCCUGGAAUCUGAGGGACCUCAAACUUGAAAGCUUAGCUGUGCUCAGUGAGUUGUGGGGUGGAUAAAGGUUCUUUGUUCAACGAAUAGCAGUGCAGAAUUGGAUACUAAAAGUACCCAAUGAUCAAAAAGGACCUAAAAGUGAACGUCCAAGCCGUUCUUGGAUGAAAUUUCUCAGCCACAAAGUUCUUACCUCCUUACAUUUUCAUCGUAUUCUUCAAUAAGCUGGAACUUGCCUUGUUACUUUAUCAAUGACCACUUCACAUUGAGAAAAGGCAAAAAUAUUGCAUCCAUGCUUUCCUAUCCUUGGAGAAGAGAAGUGGUCCUUUUAUUCUUUAUCUUCAGUGAUGGGACAUUCAUUGUACUGAAGGAGAAUCUGGGGAAGGCUCUGGACCAAAAGCAGCUAUUGAUGAACAUUAUAUAUCAAAUUCAAAAAGAUAUGUUCCAACAAAAAGAUGACCACAGUGGAAAGCAGAAAGCAGAAGUGAGCUUCAAUUAUAUUGCACCUGCACACAUUGUCAUAUACAACUGGGCGACAAGAGGUCGUUGGCAUCCAGUAUCUAUGUUUGUACGGGUAGGUCCACUAAGAAGGACUCUGGCUUCUCUGUCCAUUGGAGUAAGCUGGGGAGGUAUCUGAAUUGGAGGGCCUAAGAAAAGGUCCAUGUUCCCUUUUGGAGGUCGCAGGUGGGAGUUUGAAGUUUCACUUAGUGCAGAUUCUGGGAUAACGC